rnacentral:rRNA from 1 species
AGAGUUUGAUCCUGGCUCAGGACGAACGCUGGCGGCGCGCCUAACACAUGCAAGUCGAACGAGAGAGAGGGAGCUUGCUUCCUCGAUCGAGUGGCGAACGGGUGAGUAACGCGUGAGGAACCUGCCUCAAAGAGGGGGACAACAGUUGGAAACGACUGCUAAUACCGCAUAAGCCCACGGCUCGGCAUCGAGCAGAGGGAAAAGGAGCAAUCCGCUUUGAGAUGGCCUCGCGUCCGAUUAGCUGGUUGGUGAGGUAAUGGCCCACCAAGGCGACGAUCGGUAGCCGGACUGAGAGGUUGAACGGCCACAUUGGGACUGAGACACGGCCCAGACUCCUACGGGAGGCAGCAGUGGGGAAUAUUGCACAAUGGGGGAAACCCUGAUGCAGCGACGCCGCGUGGAGGAAGAAGGUCUUCGGAUUGUAAACUCCUGUUGUUGAGGAAGAUAAUGACGGUACUCAACAAGGAAGUGACGGCUAACUACGUGCCAGCAGCCGCGGUAAAACGUAGGUCACAAGCGUUGUCCGGAAUUACUGGGUGUAAAGGGAGCGCAGGCGGGAAGACAAGUUGGAAGUGAAAUCCAUGGGCUCAACCCAUGAACUGCUUUCAAAACUGAUUGUCUUGAGUAGUGCAGAGGUAGGCGGAAUUCCCGGUGUAGCGGUGGAAUGCGUAGAUAUCGGGAGGAACACCAGUGGCGAAGGCGGCCUACUGGGCACCAACUGACGCUGAGGCUCGAAAGUGUGGGUAGCAAACAGGAUUAGAUACCCUGGUAGUCCACACCGUAAACGAUGAUUACUAGGUGUUGGAGGAUUGACCCCUUCAGUGCCGCAGUUAACACAAUAAGUAAUCCACCUGGGGAGUACGACCGCAAGGUUGAAACUCAAAGGAAUUGACGGGGGCCCGCACAAGCAGUGGAGUAUGUGGUUUAAUUCGACGCAACGCGAAGAACCUUACCAAGUCUUGACAUCCUGCGACGAUGCUAGAAAUAGUAUUUUCCUUCGGGACGCAGAGACAGGUGGUGCAUGGUUGUCGUCAGCUCGUGUCGUGAG